rnacentral:misc_RNA from 1 species
UCCGGCUUAUCACCGGCAGUCCCACUAGAGUGCCCAACUGAAUGAUGGCAACUAAUGGCGAGGGUUGCGCUCGUUGCGGGACUUAACCCAACAUCUCACGACACGAGCUGACGACAGCCAUGCAGCACCUGUGUUCCGGCUCAUUGCUGGGAGGAAUCCAUUUCUGGAAACCGACCGGACAUGUCAAGGGUUGGUAAGGCUCUUCGCGUUGCGUCGAAUUAAACCACAUGCUCCACCGCUUGUGCGAGCCCCCGUCAAUUCCUUUGAGUUUUAACCUUGCGGCCGUACUCCCCAGGCGGGACACUUAACGCGUUAGCUGCAGCAGAGAAAGGCAAGCCCUCCUCCACUCAGUGUCCAUCGUUUACGGCUAGGACUAC